UACGUAGGGGGCGAGCGUUGUCCGGAUUUACUGGGCGUAAAGGGCGCGUAGGCGGUCAGCACAAGUCAGUUGUGAAAUCUCCGGGCUUAACUCGGAAAGGUCAACUGAUACUGUGCGACUAGAGUGCAGAAGGGGCAACUGGAAUUCUCGGUGUAGCGGUGAAAUGCGUAGAUAUCGAGAGGAACACCUGCGGCGAAGGCGGGUUGCUGGGCUGACACUGACGCUGAUGCGCGAAAGCCAGGGGAGCGAACGGG
rnacentral:rRNA from 1 species